rnacentral:lncRNA from 1 species
UUAUAUAUCAUGUGUACAUAUAUAGUCAUAAAGGUUCUUCCAGUCAGUUCAAUACCCUUGGGUACCAAGGGUAUACUUCCAUUUUCAUACGUACCAGUUACAUUACUAGUAAGCUACCAUAGGGGUAGUUCAGGAAGAUACUAGAACUAUUACUAGAACGUGAAAUCAUACAAUGAGUCAGUUCAUUCAUGAGUCAAUACUUGCUAGAUGGAGAGAGAGAACACACAUUACAGCUAGCACACGCAGAACAUUACAGUACAUUACUAUACUACUACAUAGAUACGUUUACAUGAUUACGCUUACAUGAGUACGUUUACAUUGAUACGCUUACAUGAGUACAUUUACAUAGAUACGCUUACAUGAGUGCAUUUACAUAUACGAUAAUAGGACGGACAUAACUAGGUGCUAUAGCAUGGAACGAUUUGAGGAUCUAACUAUACUAAUGAAUCACAACGCAUUGUGAUAAUUAUAUUAGGUAUACAUUAUCAUAGUAAUGUGGAUGUUCACGGCUUGCAAACAUGCAGGGGUCGUGUGUGAGUUCCAAAAUCUCAUUUGACAGGGGAGCGUCUAGCCUAGGAUCUAGCCAUCACAUUAUGCCUUACCCUCAAAUACGUAAAAAUAGUACAGAAGUUGUCACUUAUUACAAAUACUACAGUACUUACGAAAUUACAAUAGAUUUAAGGUAGUUAGUACGGUUGUAGUUAUUUGAUACUACACCAUAGUACUAUUUCAUUUUCCCAUUACAUUCACUUCGUGAACAUUCAAGCGAUUCACGGUAAUGUAGAAACUAUAUUUUUUUGUUAACAAUCGUUAGAUUUGGGAAAACACACACUUUUGCAAGAGACACAUACAGAUACUAGAUGCCUUGGUAGGAGGCUACUUUCAGUAGGAAGCAUAGGGAUUUCUAGGAUGUUCAAAAUGUUUUCAUACUUACAUUUCAUAUACGUACAAAUACAUUCUUACAAAUUAAGAAACUAAAAUACUUAUGAUCUCACCAGCUUUAAAGCUAAUACUCAAUUUCAAACUAACUUGUAUCCUCAGGUUAACAGUAGACAGGUACAGAUGCAAGGUUUAGAGAAGAUAGAGCUCGUUCAAGACUUAUCUUUCAUUUUGAUUUAUACUUUAGUGUCUAUUAGACAUAUCAGAACACUUGUAUUAAAAUUAUAUUAUUAAUGCAAUGGAUGAUGUUGUUGCCUGUUUACUACUAUUCAUUGUUGUGAUAUUGUACAUGACGUCCUCCGCCCCAGAACGUUUCCGCCAUUCACGGUUUUGGGGUGUGACAGAUUGGUAUCAGAGCAUUGUUUAUAGUGAAUUGAGUAUAUCAACCGAUAAAAGAUAUACAGACUAUAAAUACAAUAGGAUUAAAAUACUUUGACCAAGAGUUUAUACUUUAAAUAAUAAAAUAUUUUAUUAAGUAUACGUGCCUGCAUUCAUACUAAAAUCAGUUUCACUAGGACAGUACAAAAGAAUUACGAUUGUUGGGCAACACAAGUGGACUUAGAGACAUAUAGUCAAAAAUGGGAAGAUAUAGCCUGAUCAACUAUAUUAUCCGAGGGUUGACUAGCAUGUGCCUAAGUGUAGUUGUGUGAUUGCAACAAGUCUAAAGUUUUACCAACAAUACCACAAUGAGAACAAUAGAACAUAAACCUAAAAUACUAUAGGAGUAUUUGUGUUACUAUAAGUACUUUAUACUUGAGAUCUAAAAAGAAUCUUCAUUACUAAGUUGAUAGUUGCUAAGUGGAUACACUAAGGCUAUAUGUAACUAGGAUGUUAUAGACUUAGAAUCUGUGAAAAUUUUGCUUUACCCCUAUUCUUUGUGAAUUUGGAGUUAAGGUCACUUAUUUGAAGGCCUAUCCUGUUGUGAUUACAUAUAACUGGUAUGCACUUCACAAAUAGUGAUAUAACUAAUGAAUAUUUUCUAAAUAAUUAUCUAUAUAAUUCGUCUAAUAAUUAUUUUCUUACCCCAAUUCUCGCGUAUAUAAAAUAGCUGGACUCCAUCCCCACGACAACUCGUACCUUCCGAACGAAGUCAUUGCUGGAUGGCUUGGGGAAGAACCACAAAAUGAUCAUCCGAUCCCUUUGAAUGAUCACCAUGAUGAAGACCUUUCGAAUGAUGCUAACUCCGAACCCAUGGUUGAGAACCUACCCCAGGUAGCUCCCUUUCCAAAUCCUAACUCUCGUCCGGCCUUUCAUGGCCCGACGCCUUUCAUGGCCCGACGCCUCCGUGGGUAGAAUAAUUGGAAACAUGGAGCCAAGGAUAAGAUCAGCCCACGCCAUUUAAUGGUGACCGAAGCUUUUAUGACAUGAGCAAUGGGGGAUCAACAGACAGAAUCUUGCCAAUCCUGGUCCGCAGAGUGGCUCGAAAUGAGAUUCAAGGCAGGACAGCCCUACAUCAGAUCAUAGAAGUUGUCGCCAAUGCGAGAAUGCAUACCCUUCGCACCAUUUGCCUGGAAGAUGCUCAUGAAAGAUCUGAGAGAGACCAUGAAACCCUGCUGCAAGCACUGGCUAAAUCACGAGUCGAAGUUAUAGAGCUCCGAGUACGCCAGAGGGUGUAUGAAAGACACCUACUUGAUAUGGAACAUCAACUGGCUGAGCUGAGAGUUCACCAGAGGGACGACCGUCGCCAGUAGUAGAUGCCCUACUUUAUUUUUCCUUGAUUAAAAGGAAUCGUUUUUUGUCUAUGCCCGAUGUGGAAUUUUCUAUGAAACUAUCUUGUACUGUAGGUACUUUAGUUAGGUCUUUAUGCUGUCAAGGACUUUCUACUUUGGAUAUGAAGUAAGACCUCUAACAAGGUCCUUUUUCCCUAACUUUUACAUCAUGAAUAUCAAAAAUAUUGACAGUCGGCUAACUUCUGUGUCAUUCUUUAUUCAAAUACUUUCAUCAUGCUCUCAUGGGAGUCCAUUUGAAACCCACUCUAGUUGAGUUAUUGAACUAGGGUAUUCUAGCUCAGGGAUAAUUCCCAAUUCUUCUUCAAGGGUUGGAUCAUGUUAUUUACCAACCAAUGGUACCCUGUUUUAGACGUCAAGCAUCAUAAGACCAUACUACGAACAUACUUCCAUUCUUUACUAGGACUACAUCAUAGGGAUGUAGGUUGAACCUUUGCAUACAUACUUCCAAUCUGUACUAGGACUGCAUCAUAGGGAUGUAGGUCAAACUUUCAAGAACAUACUCUUACUAUUUACGUGAACAAUCGAAGUACAUCUAGGGUCAACCAGAAUCGCUCACAAAAUCCUUAUCUUUCAUAUUACAGAAUCAAGUCGUCAUCCAGAAACAGUCAGCCGAACAACGAAACCCCUAUUUUUCCUAUGGAUGCCAUUACUUUUCAAAACGCAGUUACAGCUGCCGUGAUGGCUGCCGUGACAGCUGUCCUUGCACACCGUAACGCUAUCAACGCAAGCACUGCAGAUGAAGGGCUUGAAAAUCCCGAUCGUAGUAUCAAUCCAGGAAGUCAUCAAACGAUAACAGUCGCAGGCUCGCAAAGCCGAAAAACAUAGAACAAGAAAUAAAAGCGCCAAGCCCAGAAAGAAAGCAAGCGAUCCCAAAAACUUGCCAUGCAACAACAACAAGUGGAAACCCUUGCCAUCCCAGUACCGAGCAGACCAGGGAAAUGUUCUGAAGUGUGAUAAGUGUAGUUUUCAUCAUCAUGGGGCUUUCCAUGAGAUGCAAUGUUGCAAUUGCCUAAAAAUAGGGCAACAUGCUCGUAGCUGUAGAGCACCGACACGACCCAUCACUCAAGCCCCUAACAUUAGAGUCAACCAGGCUUACGAUGGUGGUGUUAAAAAUAGACCCUAUGAAAGGACAGUUUCAAAGUGGAUGAACAAGGAGAACACUCAUGUCCACGUCACUAUAGCUCGACACAUCACUUCCAUCACCAAUGUUGGUGUUGUCCCGAUAUGUCACCAAUGCGGUGAAAUUGGACACCUCAAGAAGGAUUGCCCGAUAGCGAAGAACUCUGGCGCAGACGAGAAAAUACUAAGGAUCACCGCCGCAUGAGAGUCUACUCUGGCCCCAUGUUAAUGUAAUUAAGGCGUUUCAUUGUAACAGACUUAUAAACCAUCCAAAACUAGUGCAACUAGAGUCUUAUCUUUUUCGAGAUCCCGUCAGUAAAGGGAUGCUCGUGCUGCGUAUACUUGUCUUUUGUAGUAUAGCUUAUUCGCAGCAAUAGUCUUGUAGUAAGUCUAAAGUAUUGUAACUCUGUUGAUGGUUGCACGGUUGUGUGUUGUCUGUAACGCCUUAUGUUCAAAUCUAAUGUCUAUUAGUUCCUAUAUGAUUCUGACAUUACCAUACGACUAGAUUCAAUUUGAUCCGCACAAUACCAGCUCCUUACGUACAUCUCUUUCUCCGAAAUCGCCUUUCCAGCGAAGCCGUCAUACCAGGUCACCGAAGUGCUCAUGCAUGGAGUACCUCAUGUUUCUUAGCCCUUCCGAAGAAAUCUCAACAAACCUCCCAGAAGUACCACUCGUACAGUACGUCAAGUUCAAUCCAAAGAUCCAUACGGUUCAUCUAUUGCUUAAGAAUGUAUACAUAGAGAUAGUAUAUAAUCAAGGUUCUACAGGUUUAGAAUUGAUGAUUCCACUUUACCUUCUUUUCCUCGUAGGUAUGUGAACGUAAAGAAGAAUCAUUUAUUCGACUAUAUUUUCAAUCUUAAUUAUAUACGACUCGUGUAUACAAGAUUGUGAUCGUUGAACCGUGUAUGAGUUCUAAUAUGAACUUCAGGACGGAGACUGCCCAAGACUACGAGUAAUCGCAUCGCCAUGUGAACAAACUAAGAACCCAGUACGACUCCUGUAACCAGACCGCCCUACAGUUUAAACACCCGCAGAGAGACAAGAACAGUCUGGACAACUUAACGAACUACUCAAUACUAGAAUAGAAAGACCAAGCUUCUCAUCCUAGAGAGCUUCGGUCUUAUUCUCCCAUAAGUAGACGGAUUGCAUCAUAUGUACCUCGACUAUCGAGGAAUCCAUCAAGAUUUCCAUUAGAAAUCGUUAUCUCUGCCUCGCAUAGAGGAAUUGGUGAAUUACCUUUCAGAAAUGGACCGAGAUCCGAAUAUCAGCAGUUUCGAGUGUUAGCGAAGGAUGUCCCUAAGACUACCUUCCGAACUCGAUACAGACACUUUGAGUCCAUAGUGAUACCCCUCGGAUAGGACCAAUAUGUCUGUAGUAUUCAUGAGCUUAAUGAAUAGGGUACGCCAUUCUUACUGGGAUCAAUCGUCAUUCUCUUUGUAAAUGACUUACUUAUCUACUCUCGUAGUAAGAAGGAAACGUUGGAAACAUUACCCUCAGAUAAACUCUUCUCGAAGUUCUCAAAACACGAGUUUGGAAUUGAAGAGUUAAAUUCCUAAGACGCAAUUUUAGUGAUGUGGAAAUUCUUGAGUACUCUUUCAAUUUAUCAAAACCAUUGAGAAUUUGUCGGCACCGAAGACGCUGAUAGAAAUUCGCCAAAUUCUAGGUCUUGCAGAGCUACUAUCGUAGUCCAUUCAUAACUCCUCGCGAAUUAUAGAAACCCUAUCGACUUUGACCCAGCAGGGUGUGGCCCCUACCUGGGAAGAUAAGCAAGGAAAAGAAACCUUGGAAUUCCAAGUGAGAGACCAAAUUCUUUAGGAAGUCUCACUCUGGUAAUGGCUUGUUACGCUUCAGGAAGUGUGGAGAGAAAAAUCCAAGAUAGUUAGGACCUCAGAGAUUCUUAACAGAAUCGGUCUUGUAUCUCACAAACUAAACGUACUCCGCGAACUCAGUGACGUACAUUCUACCCUUCACGUCUCGAACUUGUAAAAAGUAUCGAUCCGACGAGACUCUUGAAAUCCCACUCGAAGAGAUCAAGUCCCACAAGAGCCUCACCUACAUGGAAAAACUUUAGUGACCAUGGACCGAGAGGUCAUGCGAACAAUUCCUAGUCGUUUCCCUUUUGUGAAGGUCCCCUGGGAUGCCAACCAAGGACCAGAAUUCACUUGGGAGCGCAAGAAUCAUACAUUUAGGAAGUACCCCCACUCCUUGACUUGAUUAUUCAUGCCUACUUCCUUACCUAAAUUCUAAUUUUGGGACGAAAUUCCUUCUAACGGGGGGAUGAUGUGACAACCCAAAAUUGCUAUUAUGUACAAACCUUCAAUACAAUAGAAGUCAGAAAAGUUGCUGCUAAGUUUCAAACUUUUUGGAACAAGUUUGAGUAUUUUAGGAUUUACAUUUCGGGUGAUAGCAGGAGAGAGGAUGCCCUAGAGUAUUUUGUGCAUCUUAAAAGUUUCAAAACUCCACGAGUUUGGAGUUUAUGGCUCAAAUGAUAUUUUUGGACCAAAAACUCAACGGACUAUAUAAAGGGCACUUAGCCAUUUUUAGUUCAUUUCUUCCAUUUCAUCUAGAGAAAAGCCUGAAUUCUCUCCCAAGGAUCUUCAAUCUUUUUCUUCGGAUUGUAAGUACUUCUACCCUAGAGUGUUUUAAAGCUUACUACAUGUUUAUGAUAGAAAUCACUCAAGAAUCACAAGAAGAAGGAGUUUACGGCCCAAGAUCUUCUUGGGCCGUAAACUCUAUUUUAGGGGCCAAAGUGCUCCCAACUCUUCCCUUAUGCAUAGAAACUAGUAUGGAACCCUUCCCUAAUCGUUUUAGCACAUGAAAAACACCUUAAGACCCCCUUGUAUAUGGGUUUAAGGUUUGGGGAUCUCUCAAAACCGUAAACACCCCAAAGUCAGUAUAAAUGGCCCAUAUUCCUUCCUUAUGCCUUGAAUCAAGCCUAGACUUUUACCUUAAAGUGUUUAGGACUUGAAAACUUCAUAAAACCAUGUUCCAUAGGAGUUUACGGCAGCAAACUCAUGGAGAAAUGGUCCAUGGGCAGUAAACUUCAUUUAGGAGUGUUUUGAUGCCACAAACAUUUCCAUAAGCUUAUACUUCAAUGUAGGAAUACUUGGAAUGACUUAGAAGACUUCAAAUCACAAAAUGGUCAAAUAGGUAUGAGUUUACGGCCUUAAACUCAAGAGUUUACGACCGUAAACCCAAUGAGUUAUGGUCUCCAAAACCGUAAACUCACAAAGAGGGUUCCCUUGAACCCUAAGCUCAAUAGCUUUGUCCUACAACACUUACAUGCACUCCUUAGCACUUAUAACACUUAUAUAAAGUGUUUAACAUGUCUUAGGAUGUAUUAACUUUGUUAUUUAGUUGUUUAAAGGCUAAUUGGUUACAUAUAUGUGAUAUUAUAUGUUAACUAGGAUCAUAGAGUGUGUGCAAGUCUUCACUUGACACCUAGCAUCCUAUACAGUACGUUCAUCCCAACCACUUGCUACAGGUGAGUUCAUACCCCUUAAUUGAUGAUUUAAAUGUUUUUAAAUGGUUUUAUGGGGGGAUACAAGUUGAAUCAUGCUAGUUAUUAUAUUAUUCAAAUGUGAUUAAUAAGUAGCAUACAAAAGGAUUUUCUACUCUUUUAGCUGUUUUACCAAACACUUUACUUCAAAUGGCUUUCCAAAACAUUUUUACUCAGUUAAAACUCUUUGUUAAAAUGUCUUGCAUACUGAGUGUAUCUUUUAAAACCCUUUUACAGUUGUGAUUCAAGACAAAUGUUUUCCUUAUACUUUACACUGUUCUUAUCGAACAAAGUGCUUUCAAAUCGUUUUACAAUUUGACAUCAAGUCAUCCUUUCUUAGAAACUAAACUUUUCAAUGGUUUUACAAAACUUCUUUUAUGCUUUUAUAUUGUCAAUUGCAUGCCUAUAUAUGUAUAGUUACAUAAGUAAUGUUUAAAGGACUUAGGAAGGUUAGCCCGCUUUAUUUCCUUUUCCCCGUUGGGAUGUGGUCUGGUAGGGUAUCGGGCAUCUAUGCGAAGGUCGUUUAAAUAUUAGUUAUAUAUCAUGUGUACAUAUAUAGUCAUAAAGGUUCAUCCAGUCAGUUCAAUACCCUUGGGUAGCAAGGGUAUACUUCCAUGUUCAUAUGUACCAGUUAAAUUACUAGUAAGCUAUUAUAGGGGUAGUUCAGGAAGAUACUAGAAUGCGAAAUCAUACAAUGAGUCAGUUCAUUCACGAGUCAAUACUUGCUAGAUAGAGAGAGAACACAUAUUACAGCUAGUACACACAGUACAUUACUAUACAUGCUAGAUAGAGAGAGAACACACAUUACAGCUAGCACACGCAGAACAUUAUAGUACAUUACUAUACUACUACAUAGAU